rnacentral:rRNA from 1 species
GAUGAACGCUGGCGGCGUGCCUAAUACAUGCAAGUCGAGCGAAUGGAUUAAGAGCUUGCUCUUAUGAAGUUAGCGGCGGACGGGUGAGUAACACGUGGGUAACCUGCCCAUAAGACUGGGAUAACUCCGGGAAACCGGGGCUAAUACCGGAUAACAUUUUGAACCGCAUGGUUCGAAAUUGAAAGGCGGCUUCGGCUGUCACUUGUGGAUGGACCCGCGUCGCAUUAGCUAGUUGGUGAGGUAACGGCUCACCAAGGCAACGAUGCGUAGCCGACCUGAGAGGGUGAUCGGCCACACUGGGACUGAGACACGGCCCAGACUCCUACAGGAGGCAGCAGUAGGGAAUCUUCCGCAAUGGACGAAAGUCUGACGGAGCAACGCCGCGUGAGCGAUGAAGGCUUUCGGGUCGUAAAACUCUGUUGUUAGGGAAGAACGAGUGCUAGUUGAAUAAGCUGGCACCUUGACGGUACCUAACCAGAAAGCCACGGCUAACUACGUGCCAGCAGCCGCCGUAA